UACGUAGGGUGCGAGCGUUGUCCGGAAUUACUGGGCGUAAAGAGCUCGUAGGUGGUUUGUCGCGUUGUUCGUGAAAUGCCACAGCUUAACUGUGGGCGUGCGGGCGAUACGGGCAGACUGGAGUACUGCAGGGGAGACUGGAAUUCCUGGUGUAGCGGUGGAAUGCGCAGAUAUCGCUUGGAACGCCAAAGGUGAAAACAGGUUGCUGGGAAUGUGCCGACGCUGAGACACGAAAGCCAGGGGAGCAAACGGGG
rnacentral:rRNA from 1 species